UACGGAGGAUCCGAGCGUUAUCCGGAUUUAUUGGGUUUAAAGGGAGCGUAGGUGGAUUGUUAAGUCAGUUGUGAAAGUUUGCGGCUCAACCGUAAAAUUGCAGUUGAAACUGGCAGUCUUGAGUACAGUGGAGGUGGGCGGAAUUCGUGGUGUAGCGGUGAAAUGCUUAGAUAUCACGAAGAACUCCGAUUGCGAAGGCAGCUCACUAGACUGCAACUGACACUGAUGCUCGAAAGUGUGGGUAUCAAACAGG
rnacentral:rRNA from 1 species